rnacentral:rRNA from 1 species
AUUGAACGCUGGCGGCAGGCUUAACACAUGCAAGUCGAGCGGAGAUGAGGUGCUUGCACCUUAUCUUAGCGGCGGACGGGUGAGUAAUGCUUAGGAAUCUGCCUAUUAGUGGGGGACAACAUUCCGAAAGGAAUGCUAAUACCGCAUACGUCCUACGGGAGAAAGCAGGGGAUCUUCGGACCUUGCGCUAAUAGAUGAGCCUAAGUCGGAUUAGCUAGUUGGUGGGGUAAAGGCCUACCAAGGCGACGAUCUGUAGCGGGUCUGAGAGGAUGAUCCGCCACACUGGGACUGAGACACGGCCCAGACACCUACGGGAGGCAGCAGUGGGGAAUAUUGGACAAUGGGCGGAAGCCUGAUCCAGCCAUGCCGCGUGUGUGAAGAAGGCCUUUUGGUUGUAAAGCACUUUAAGCGAGGAGGAGGCUACUUAGAUUAAUACUCUAGGAUAGUGGACGUUACUCGCAGAAUAAGCACCGGCUAACUCUGUGCCAGCCGCCGCGGUAACAC